AAAGAUGAGGAAUAGGACAGACAAGAAGAAAGAUAGAAGGAUUAACAGAGACUAUGUGACUGUCAGUCAGGCAGAUGAACAAGAACAAGGCAACUUUCGCCACCAGAAGUUCAGUGUCAACCUUCUGCAGUAAAUAAAUAGGCAAACACAACAGUUGAAAUGUCACUGAUGAUGGACGAAACAGCGGGGGACCUACCAGUAAGGGAUGUGGGCCUCAGAGGAGGAGCCAUGAUUGUCACACAAGAACAAGAAACAAGGUCCUGGAAAAGACCUGCACAGGUCUUAAGCCUUAAAGAAAGGCAGCGUGUGUUCAAGGUACCGCGAGAGCAUCUGGAGGAGCAGUGUCUACGCCUGCAGGAAGAAAACACACUGCUCAAACAACACACCCG
rnacentral:lncRNA from 1 species